UCCAAACCAGAAAGAAAGCUUAAGAGAGGGUUCCUAUGGAGUACUUGCAUGAUGAAGGUCAGUUUUUGACAAUUUCUACCAUUAAAGAUUGCCCUCGUGCCUAGAAACGUGAUCUCUACACGUGGUAAUCGUUUUCCCCUUCUAUUAGCUGCGUUUGGAGCAAGUUUUUGAAGAUAUAAAUUUGUAGUUAUUAGUGUUUCUUCAAGGUUUAACGUGGUAAUCGUUUUCCCCUUCUAUUAGCUGCGUUUGGAGCAAGUUUUUGAAGAUAUAAAUUUGUAGUUAUUGGUGUUUCUUCAAGGUUUACACUUGGUUAACUAAGGUAAUCAUCUCGGGAC
rnacentral:lncRNA from 1 species